AUUGAACGCUGGCGGCAGGCCUAACACAUGCAAGUCGAACGGUAACAGGAAGCAGCUUGCUGCUUCGCUGACGAGUGGCGGACGGGUGAGUAAUGUCUGGGAAGCUGCCUGAUGGAGGGGGAUAACUACUGGAAACGGUAGCUAAUACCGCAUAAUGUCGCAAGACCAAAGAGGGGGACCUUCGGGCCUCUUGCCAUCGGAUGUGCCCAGAUGGGAUUAGCUUGUUGGUGGGGUAACGGCUCACCAAGGCGACGAUCCCUAGCUGGUCUGAGAGGAUGACCAGCCACACUGGAACUGAGACACGGUCCAGACUCCUACGGGAGGCAGCAGUGGGGAAUAUUGCACAAUGGGCGCAAGCCUGAUGCAGCCAUGCCGCGUGUGUGAAGAAGGCCUUCGGGUUGUAAAGUACUUUCGGCGGGGAGGAAGGGAGUAAAGUUAAUACCUUUGCUUAUUGACGUUACCCGCAGAAGAAGCACCGGCUAACUCCGUG
rnacentral:rRNA from 1 species